GCAAUAUAAUUCCCCUUAUAAUUUGUACGUCCUCCUUAAAAGGUCAAAAACAUUUAAAAAAAGAAGUUAGAUUUAAAUGCAUUUAUGUUAUAGAUGACUGAAUGAUGUACUUACAAAUGCUUGAAACUAGAGAAGACACACAGCAAGCAACACAUUUAUGAAAUAGAAUUGGCACAUGAGAAACGGACAUCUGAACAGUGAUGGUUAAGAUGCCCCUAACCCAUCAGUAAAAGAAUUUCCUAACACCUCAAUGUCCAUGAAAAAUGUGUACAAGAUGGUCAACUAGAACUACCUAUAGGUAAAGGCUCAGCUGUCCAUAAUAAGAUCUAUUCAAUUUUGUUAGAUAGAAGCACCACCGUCACUACCAUUCAAACCUGAAGAAUCAUCUCCUAACUUUAUGCCUUCUAUUGGAGGCAGUGUAGCAUUAGAUGGCAGCUGUUCAUUGCCACCAAAAACCUCGUUCAGUUUCCCAUUCCCAUUAGGCCCAUCAUUUUCAUUGUAUCCACUCACCAUCAUAACACCACCAUUCACGUAAGCCGGAUAAAGAAACCCAUUGUUAUAAGGUGAAGGACAGAUUGUGGCUCCAAUCAGCACAGGUCCAUUCCAAGGGCUCCUUGGGGUAACUGGUGUAAAACCAAUGUCAGGUCUGCCAUAUCCUACCAUAGGGUAGCCACCAAAGAAGCCUGUUCCACAAAAAUACCCUCCAACACCACUAUACCCAGGAGUUGGAACAUAGCCUGGGAGAAUUUCAUAUCCAGGACCAUAAGGAACAUAACUUCCAGGUUGAGAAGUCUUAGUGGAAAGCCCUCUUACGCCUCCUUUUGUGAUAUGGUUAUUGUUACUACCACUAAUACAUUCUUUUGGCACAGCCCUCUUAACCUCCACGAGCCUACCAUUUAGCUCAUGAAAACUAUUCAACAUUACCUUCUCCACGGAUUCUUCGGAAUCAAAAGUGACAAACCCAAAACCCCUUGGCCUGUUGGUUAAGCUGUCUUGCAUCACAACUACAUCCACUAUCUUACCAAAGCUCUGAAAAUAAUUCUGAAACUGUUCCUCAGUUAAACUAGAUGAUAGACCCCCUACAAAGAUUUUUUUAGCUGUAAAGUAAUCAUUCCCAUUACUAUUACUACUAUUCUCAGAGAACCCACUGCUCUUUUGUUGAUUGGGGGAUUGUUGCUGCUGAAGCUGCUGUAAUUGCAACUGUACAGUUUUGGGUAUAGCUUUCUUCACUUCUACCUAAAUGAAAGAAAUUAUUACUGAUAAAUUAAACAACCAAAAACUAAUACAAAUAAUAAAGUCGCUUAGGUAACAGGGAAUACAAACAAUACCCUCUUAAUAAUAAAUCAAACCAAUACAAAGAAAUACAAUCUAAAAUUUUCUAUCAUUUUGACAAAAACCACCCUAGACAAUAUAUACGUCUUUCAUUGUACAGGAGUUACCCAUGAAAAAUGUUAAAUUCAAUCAGAUAAAAACACUGCAACACAGAAAAGAAUUCAAUUCAACUUUCACAUAAUCAUAAGCAAUUAGGCAUAAUCUUAAUUUAGAACAAAAGAAAACACGUAAAUUGAAAUAUAGUAUGACAAAAGAGAACUGAAACUGACCGUUCUUCCUAGUAUUACAUGAGAGUCUUGAAGGGCCUUAUCAGCGAAGGUAGGAUCAGAGAAAGUUACAAAGCCAAAGCCUCUAGGGCUUCUGGUAUUCUUGUCCUUGGCAACAUGAGAAGUUAAAACAGUCCCAUACUUGGCAAAGUGAGCUUUGAGAGCUUCUUCACUGGUCUCCCGAGAUAUACCUCCCACAAAUAACUUAGCUUUAUCGUUAUCCAUGUCAGUAACGUCAAAGAAAACCCUAAUUGCACCGAAUAUUGAAAAGCCCUAAUAUUAAAACCCCCAAAUUGGGAAGAAAAAAAACCCUAGAAAUCAAAAUUUCUAGGGUUUGCGAAGCCAGUGAAACCAGAGAGGAAAAAAUAACGCAUGGAGGGUUUUACUUUUACCUGCGUGGGCUUGUUUGUAGAAUCCAUGUCAGUAACGUCAAAGA
rnacentral:misc_RNA from 1 species